rnacentral:rRNA from 1 species
GGGUUGGGGAUAACUCCUCGAAAGGGGUGCUAAUACCGGAUAACAUUUCGAUCUCCUCGGAGGUUGAAAUCAAAGGUGGCCUCUGCAUGCAAGCUACUGCCCGAGGAUGGGGGCCCGCGUACCAUUAGCUAGUUGGUAGGGUAACGGCCUACCAAGGCUGCGAUGGUUAGCUGGUCUGAGAGGAUGGCCAGCCACACUGGAACUGAGACACGGUCCAGACUCCUACGGAGGCAGCAGUGGGGAAUCUUGCGCAAUGGGGGAAACCCUGACGCAGCAACGCCGCGUGGGUGAUGAAGGCCUUCGGGUCGUAAAGCCCUGUCAGGUGGGAAGAAACCCAUCGGUGCAAACAGCACCGGUGAUUGACGGUACCACCGGAGGAAGCACCGACUAACUCCGUGCCAGCAGCCGCGGUAA